GGUUGUCAUAGAGUGCGGGGCCCUUUCAUAAUAAUGUUGUCUGUUUGGGGAAAGUCGUGCUGGGACUUGUGGUUGCACUGAAGCUGAGCUUGUCUGUCACACAGUGUUUAUAGAGAGGAUCAGCUUGCUGGCAUUGAAUUGGAUGAUGAAGCAAAGAGAACUACCUUUCAUUCACAUACGUAUGACCGCAGUGAGGAGGAGUAGGGGGCCCCAGGACCCUUGUUCUAGGCAUCCUGUGGACAGGGCGUAGGUGUCAAUUGUGGACUAACCCCUAACGGUCUAUCAUGAAAUAUCACUGAGAAGACGGGACAGCGGUAGGAAUGAGCGUCCUCCUGAUCGAGGCGUUUUAUGGGGGGUCACACAAGCAGCUGAUGGACCUGCUGAGAGGAGAGAUGGAGGGCUGCGUCCUCUAUAGUCUCCCGGCCAAGAAGUGGCACUGGAGGGCCCGCACCGCCGCGCUCCACUUCAUGCAGGCUGUUCCACCCAGUGACUCUUACAGGGUUCUCUUCACCAGCUCGGUGCUUAACCUGGCUGAGCUCAUCGCUCUUAGACCCGAUCUCGGGAAGCUGAAAAAGGUCUUGUAUUUCCAUGAAAACCAAUUGAUUUAUCCCGUACGAAAAAAUCAAGAUAGAGAUUUCCAGUAUGGUUACAACCAAAUCCUUUCAUGCUUAGUCGCGGACGUUGUGGUGUUUAACUCCACCUUCAACAUGGAGUCUUUCCUAACCUCCAUCAGCAAGUUCCUGAAGUUGAUUCCAGAUCACCGACCUAAGAAUCUCGAAGAAAUCAUCAGGCCUAAAUGCCGGGUCAUUCAUUUCCCAAUCAGAUUCCCUGAUGUCAGCCGGUUCCUUCCAGAACACAAGAAGGCUCAACAGAAGAUCUCCAUGGAGUCUUUGGGCCACCACACAAAAAUAAAUGACCAGUCUCAAAGUGAGAACGUUGCCCCAGCUCUUUCUGGUCAAGUAGAGGAACCCAUGACCCAACUCUUGCCGGAAUCUAUCGAUAUCAUAAACUCCACUCGAGAAAGUAGUUCUGAAGAUGACGGCCAAGUGAUCUCAGAACCGUCCUCCUCCAACUUCAUCACCGAUUCCCAGAGGCCCCUUCAUAUUGUCUGGCCUCACAGAUGGGAACACGAUAAAGAUCCAGAGACUUUCUUCAAAAUUAUGAUGAAACUAAAAGACCAGGGGCUGCCCUUCCGCCUGUUGGUGCUCGGAGAGACGUUUACUGACGUGCCAGAAAUCUUUUCCGAGGCCAGAAUAUCCUUGGGGUCAGCAGUUUUGCACUGGGGUUUCUUGCCCAGUAAAGACGAGUAUUUCCAAGCGCUCUGCACAGCUGAUGUUGUCAUCUCCACGGCUAAACAUGAAUUCUUUGGCGUGGCAAUGUUAGAAGCUGUGCACUGCGGCUGUUAUCCUCUGUGUCCCAAAGCUUUGGUGUACCCAGAGAUCUUCCCAGCGGAAUAUCUGUAUUCGACACCUGAACAGCUUCUGAAAAAAUUGCUACAUUUCUGCAAAAGGCCCGAUAUUGUCAGGAGGCACCGGUUUCAGAUGUCUUCUAAUUACGCUCACUGUAGCGUUGAUAUCCAUUUAAAAGAAAUCGGAGACUUUCAGGAAGAUCACCUGAUUCGGCGAUAGACAACCUUUGUGUCUAUAAGUCCCAGCAUGUCUUCUUGAGGCGUAGGAAGGUCACCUUAGAAGGUUACUCCAAAACUUACAAUUAUAUGUAUAUCUAUAUUUGCCAGUCAGCCACAACAUUAAAACCACUGUGAGGUGACGUGAAAAAACCUGGAUUAUCUUGGUGACAAUGGCUCCUGUCUGAGGAGUGGGAUAUAUCCGGCAGGCGAGACGGCUCCGUAUUCCUGGGCAUCUCUGAGCGGUGAAUUCAGGUCUCUCCUAACAGCAGAACCCAGGGAAGAUCUGUGACAGAUGGGGCCAAGUCACAAAACUUGCAGCCUUAGGCAGAAUUUGUCGAAACUUUCCAGAGUGUGCCCAUAUUUACCUGAUCAGAGGGAAAGGAGGAAGGAAAAAAGAACAGAAUCUGCUGAGGAAGCCGAGCCUGGCUCCUUGUCAUAGCUGACACAAAACCAUCUGCCACAAACAUGUGGCAUCUCCGGAGCCACCACUACUACCACCACCAUCUUCAUCAUCAUCGUUGCCAUCAUCCGCAUAUAUAAUGCAGGAACGUUCGGAUACUUGCUCGUCUUCAGCUUCACAUGCUGGAGAGAAGUGAAGAAAAAAAAAAUCUGUGGCCUGUUGUAUAACGGCGCUCAUGUAUCCCAUAUGUGGUGCCACAUCGAAUUUCCGGAUAAAUCUCUUUUUAUCCUUUGUACUGGAUGACAUGGUGCCUGAAUUCUUUCUCUUUUUUUUUUUUUUCCGCCGACUCGAUGGCAGCCAAAGCUACAGCUUCAAACAUUCACACUUGGCUGGAUUUCUACCUAUGUUGCCAGGUUAUCGUCGGAGCCUUAUUGUGUCCUCAAAGGGCCACAGGGUCUAAAAGGAGGAUCAGAGUGUGACUAGGCUAAAUGGGGCAGCCAUCCAUGAAUUGUUUUGCAGCUGAAGAGGCUGUUGUGGUAAUUUUUUUUUAUUUUGUUUUUAUUUUUUUUGGGAGGGGGGAAUUAAUGGCUCCCUGGCCUGGCACGGAGGUUUUUUAAGUGAAGGUAUUAAUGAGAGGUCUGGCAGGUAUUCCCAGGAUUCACCCAGUUACAUUUGCAUUUAAUUAAUCUUAAAGAAGGCUGAAAGAUAAACAGCUGUAAUUCAUAGUAACAUGGGAAAUCUGCUGUGCGGGGCCAUCUAUCCGAUAAACUCGCCACUCAGACACUUGUUUUGGAGUGAAUAGAUAAAAGGGGGGGGGGGGACGGGCGACUUUAUGUUUAUUUUUCUAACACUUUCAGGAUAAGCAGAAUUUUUGCCAUUUAUUUAUC